AGUCGAACGCGAAAGUUCCCUUCGGGGAACAAGUAGAGUGGCGCACGGGUGAGUAACACGUAGGUAAUCUACCUUUGGAUUGGGAAUAACACCGAGAAAUCGGUGCUAAUACCGAAUAAUGCAGCGGCACCUAAUGGUGACAGUUGUUAAAGCGGGGGAUCGCAAGACCUCGCGUCUAAAGAGGAGCCUGCGGCGGAUUAGCUAGUUGGUAAGGUAACGGCUUACCAAGGCGAUGAUCCGUAGCCGGCCUGAGAGGGCGGUCGGCCACACUGACACUGACAUACGGGUCAGACUCCUACGGGAGGCAGCAGUCGGGAAUUUUGGGCAAUGGGCGAAAGCCUGACCCAGCAACGCCGCGUGAAGGAUGAAAUCCCUCGGGAUGUAAACUUCGCAAGAACGGGAAGAAUAAGUCGGUGCUAACACCAUCGGCGAUGACGGUACUGUUUGUAAGCUCCGGCUAACUCCGUGCCAGCAGCCGCGGUAAUACGGGGGGAGCAAGCGUUGUUCGGAUUUACUGGGCGUAAAGGGCGCGUAGGCGGCCACCGCAAGUCGACUGUGAAAUCUCCGGGCUUAACUCGGAAAGGUCAGCCGAUACUGCGGGGCUAGAGUGCAGAAGGGGCAACUGGAAUUCUCGGUGUAGCGGUGAAAUGCGUAGAUAUCGAGAGGAACACCUGCGGCGAAGGCGGGUUGCUGGGCUGACACUGACGCUGAUGUGCGAAAGCUAGGGGAGCGAACGGGAUUAGAUACCCCGGUAGUCCUAGCCUUAAACGAUGAAUGCUUGGUGUCUGGGGUUUUAUAGUCCCCGGGUGCCGUCGCUAACGCUUUAAGCAUUCCGCC
rnacentral:rRNA from 1 species